rnacentral:rRNA from 1 species
UACGAAGGGGGCUAGCGUUGCUCGGAAUCACUGGGCGUAAAGCGCACGUAGGCGGACUCUUAAGUCGGGGGUGAAAUCCUGGAGCUCAACUCCAGAACUGCCUUCGAUACUGGGAGUCUUGAGUUCGGGAGAGGUGAGUGGAACUGCGAGUGUAGAGGUGAAAUUCGUAGAUAUUCGCAAGAACACCAGUGGCGAAGGCGGCUCACUGGCCCGAUACUGACGCUGAGGAACGAAAGCGUGGGUAGCAAACAGG